AUAUUGUCAAAAAUGUUAAAAGCUGGCGUUAUGAAUGAAGGCAGUUAUCAAGAUACUGAAGAAGGUAUUCCACAGGGUGGUGUAAUAUCUCCUAUUAUAGCUAAUUUAUGCCUUGAUGGUUUAGAUAAAACUAUAAAAAGGGCGUCUAAUAAUAAAGCAACUCUUGUGAGAUAUGCGGAUGAUUUCAUUAUAGUGUCCCAGAACUAUGAUAUUUUAGAUAAGUUAAUUCUAGAUGUUAACAAAUUUCUAAAAAUAAGAGGUUUAGAAUUAAAUAUGGAAAAAAGUAAAAUCACUAAAAUUGAAAAUGGAUUUGAUUUUGUAGGUUUCCACUUUAGGGAAUUCUCGGAUUCUACUCGAGAAAUCGGGGAAAAGAAAGGGAUUUUUCUAUACAAACCUACAAAAGAAAGCUUACAAAAAGUAAAAGCUAAAAUAAAACUUUGUGUCAAAGAACAUUCGCAACUUCCUCUGUGAAUGCUUUUCUCAAAACUAAAUCCAAUAUUAAGGGGCUGAGCAAAUUAUUACUCGUCUAGUACUGCAAAGUUAGCUUAUACCCGAAUAAGUAAAUACGUUUUUGAUUCCAUUCAUCGCAUGAUAAAAAUUAAGCAUCCAAAGCUUAAUGCUAAAGCGCUUAAAUCCAAAUUUUAUCACAAAGUGAAUAAUAGAGAUUGAUUAAUGUCUACUAGCACUGAAUUUAAAAGAUUUAAGAAAAUUAAUUUGUUUCAAAUAUCCGACACUCCUAUUAAAAGAACUACUAUGAUAAAACUUGACGCUAAUUCCUAUUUGGGUGAGUUUGAGGAGUAUUUUAAUAAAAGAUCUUUGAAUAUGUGUUUUAAUCAGCAAACGAAUAAUAUUCGAUUAAAGCUGGCAAAAAGACAAAAAGGUAUGUGCCAUAUAUGUAAAUAAUCUUUAAAUAGUAAAUAUGGAGAUAUAUUGUACGAAUUAGAAAUUCACCAUAUCAUACCUGUGGUGAGUGGAGGUAAAAAUAUAUUAAAAAAUAUGACUCUUCUUCAUAAAACGUGUCAUCGCGACAGAGCUGCGUUAGAAAACUUUACUUAAGGAACUCGGCAAAUUUGCUCCGUACGUUCGCAACAAGGAGUACCUUAAAGGAUUCAAAAAUUAGGGGUAGCGACUGUUUAACAAAAACUCAAAACUUUGCAAAUUCGAAAGAAGACGUAUAAGGUUUGACGCCUGCCCAGUGCUUGAAAGCGAAAAAUACACGUUAACGCUUGUAUCAUAAACUCAAGUAAACGGCGGUCUUAACUAUAAGGAUCCUCAGGUAGCGAAAUUCCUUGGCGGGUAAAUUCCGUCCUGCAUGAAUGGCGUCACGACUACCCCACUGUCUCUAGUAUAAACUCAGCGAAAUUACAUUGUCUGUGAAAAUGCAGACAUCCUACAACAAGACGGAAAGACCCUAUGAUUCUUAACUAUAAUUUUACGUCGCAAUAAUUUUGUGUACAGUACAGUAAAAGUAGGAGUAUACUUAUACAAUUUUGAAAAACUACUCUGUACAUAAGAAAUUGCUUACUGAAGAGAAAAUAUGUAAAAGUGGUAGUUUACUUGGGACGAGGACCUCCUAAACUGUAACGGAGGUGCACAAAAGUAAAUUUUAAUUAGUUUUUUGUAUUAAUAAAAUAUGUAAUGGUAAAAAUUUGCUUGACGGUAAGAGUUACAACUCAAACCGGGACGAAAGUCGGUCAUAAUGAUCCGGCAGUAAUGUAUGGAAAUACUGUCGCUUAUCGGAAAAAAGAAACUCUAGGGAUAACAGAUUUAUCAUGGCUGAGAGUUCUUAUCGACGCCAUGGUUUGAUACCUCGAUGUCGGCUCAUCUUUUCCUGGAGCUGUAACAGGUUCCAAGGGUAUGGUUGUUCGCCAAAUAAUAAGAUACGUGAGCUGGGUUCAGAACGUCGUGAGACAGUUCGGUCCCUAUCUGUUGUGGGUAAGAAAAAACUUUCGUAAAUAGCUAAUCUCCACUUUAGGGAUUAAACUAAUAUUACAGGUAGGAAGCUAGUUCAUACAGAUCUAGUGGGCCUAUGCAUUACUCCUAAUGCUGAUCAAUGAGCUGUGUUACAAGCAGUGAACCCUAUGCAACGUGAAAAUAGUCAUUCACGGAGUAUAAGCAGGGCAUAAAUUUAAGUGGAUGUUACUUAUAAACAUUUUAACUCGAAGAGAAUAUAUAAAUCAGUAAAUCUGUCAAGAAAAGCAGUUAUAGAAGUAUAA
rnacentral:rRNA from 1 species